GAUGAAGAACGCAGCGAAAUGCGAUAAGUAAUGUGAAUUGCAGAAUUCAGUGAAUCAUCGAAUCUUUGAACGCACAUUGCGCCCCUUGGUAUUCCGAGGGGCAUGCCCGUUCGAGCGUCAUUAUACCCCUCAAGCCUAGCUUGGUGUUGGGGCCUGCUGUUACCGGCAGCCCUUAAAAUCAGUGGCGGUGCCAUCUGGCUCUAAGCGUAGUAAUACUUCUCGCUACAGGGUCCCGGUGGAUGCCUGCCAUCAACCCCUAAUUUUCUAUGGUUGACCUCGGAUCGGGUAGGGAUACCCGCUGAACUUAAGCAUAUCAAUAAGCGGAGGA
rnacentral:misc_RNA from 1 species